AUUCCUUGGUUAUAUUUGAUCGAUAUCGGGGAAAAUGUUACUAGGACUGGCAGCAACAUGGGCUAUGCCUUCGUCAACUUCACCAGUGCAGUCGCUGCAUGGAGGCUGUACAACUUUCUCCACAACUACGACUGGAAGUUCCACGGCUCUCGCAAGAUAUGUGAGGUCACAUACGCCAGAAUUCAGGGUUUGCCGGCGCUGCAGAAGCAGUUCAGGAAUUCAACUUUUGUGUGCGGGAGUGAUGACUUCCUUCCAGUGUGUUUCGUCCCGCCUCGCAAUGGAUACUGUCAGCCGUCGUUUCAGUUCUUGGGCCGGCGAGAACUUCCCCUUCACGCCGACCCCAAGGCAUGAAGAGCGAAACAAACAAGAACGUAAUGGCUAGGGUUUCUGGCUGUCUUUCUAUUUGUCCAUCCAACACAGGCUUGGAGGGAUAGAAAGUGCAUGCAAAAAUAAACAGCCAUGGAUCGUCGUCUAAAGUAAUCUGUAAUAUUUCCAAUAGUAUUGCGAUAGAAAGGUAGUGUGGGGCUUGUUUUGGUGUCUGCAGUGUCUUUACGUUUCAGUUAGUGCAGAUAUCUUUAGCAUUA